rnacentral:rRNA from 1 species
GAAGGUAGCAUAAUUAAUUGCCCUUUAAAUGGGGGCUUGUUUGAAUGGUUUGACGAGGUUGUUUUUAACAUGGAGAUUUUUAUUGAAAUUGAUGAUGUGAAUACAGAAUUUACAUUAUUUAAUUAGACGGAAAGACCCUAGGAUCUUUACAUAUUUUGCUUGGGGCAAGUAAAAAUAAUUUAUUUGUUUUUUGACCCUUUAUAAGUUUAUAGGUUUAAGUUACCCUAGGGAUAACAAAGUGAUAGUUUAUUAGAGUUCUUAUCGAUUAAACUGUUUGCUACCUCGAUGUUGACUUGGGUUAAUGUUCUGGCGCAGUAGUCAGAAGUUUUGGUCUGUUCGACCACGAGUACCCCCAUGAGUUGAGUUAAGACCGGCGUGAGC